CCCAAUUUGAUUUCUUAUGUGCUAUAUUGCAUUUGUUCUCCCAAAUGGGUCAGCGUGCCUUCCGUGUCAAAAUUUGGAGAUGUAGUUCUGAAAACCAGUGAACAAGGAGAAAUUUGGAGAUGUAGUUCUAAAAACCAGUGAACAAGAAGCACAUGGGAGCCGCUCAAUGCUCCACCAUUGAAAGUUGAGUAGGUGAUUAUGAGAUGAAGACGCUGGAAGAAGUUGGUGUGGUUGUUUGUCAGUAAAACUUAUCUGUCGUCAAGUCAUACCCAGCCCAUUGGCCGUCAUCCGAAUGCUUCUGAUAAUAAUCAAGUGUUUUCUAUUGAAUGUGUUACAAUCCAUUCUAAAGCAAACUGAGUUACUAGCAGUUUAAGAAGAUGUUAUACACCUGAUUGACGAAGAUCUUUUUUAUAUCCACAAGGUAUUUCAUGACGAUUCAACUAUAUUGCUGAUCAAAUGGAAAAUAUGUAAUUUUCUGUUUCGGUAAUAAACGGGCAAUUCAAUGUAUAGCUGGGGCAGCCUGAUUUCCUCUUUACACAUGCCCGCUAGCAGCAGCAGUUAUGACCAGGCUGUUGCGGCCUGACUUGGCGGCUCUUCCUUUUUGUUUUGUGUUUGAAUCAGAUUUGGUGGUCUCGAUUUACAGGCAUGUGUUGAUCUUGGUCUUGUUCUGUAUGCAGGUAGGGUAAACUUGAUGUUUCAUGUUUGGUGAAGAAAAGGAGCUUCCUAUGUUGAUUUCGGGCAAGACAUACAUUCUGCCAUGCAUUAGUACAUCAAUUGCUUCUCUGUGUAGGGGAACGAUUAGUGAUUGAAUCUCUCUGUCUCUUUUCUUGAUUAUCCAAUUAAUUUACCCUCAUCUAUGCAUAAAUUGGCCGGAUUGAGUUAUGCAAUUUUUUAAUAAUCUAUAUUGGUUCUAUAUAUGACUAGAACAAUAUGAUACGAUGCACAUCGGUCCGCUUUACUGGCAGCUAUCUUUCAAGAUGGAGGGGAGGCACUCGUGUGGACCUGCUCAAUGUUCGAGGAGAUACGGCUGACUAAACAAGGUUAUUUUAAAGUUCUUUGUGGUUCAUGUUAGCUAUCUAUCAGUAAUAGUACAACCUUGAUUUUUAUGUCAUUCAGGUUUACCUAACCAUCAGUAACAUUACUUUCUAUUGGAGACUUCUUACAGGAGGUGCUUAUAAAAUGAUAGUUGAACAUGUACAGAUUUGGGAUCACGAUAAUCUAUUUACCAGGCAUCAGUUAACUCAAGGCAUCGAUCAAAAUCUAGCAUUCUUUGUUGUGUGCAGCAUGGAGAAGACAAAGAACAGAGAUUGUGUGAUAUAUCCGAUAUCGCAAUAUAAUUUUCUCUUGCAUAUUUAUAAUCUGCCAUUUGAAUGAUGUUUUCUGUGUUGUAUUCCAAAUCAAGACAAUUUGCAACUUUGGUGUUAUAACAGCAAUGGGGGACUGUUCGUUGAUGCCCGACCCAUGAUGCCGGCGACGGAAUGAGAGUCGACGAGGAGUGGACGCCAUGGGUUCGUGAACUGGCAAACCCUCCGUUGUCCGUUUGGUAAUGUCCGACGCAUAAGAGGCAUAGUAUGACUUGCCCCGAUUAUGAUGUCCUCUACAAACAUCCGACGGAGGGGAACCCGUCCCUGUUUCCAUCUUGAUGUUUCAGUUGUUGAGCUUUGCACUACAAAACCGAGAAAGACCCAAGGCUUUUUACAGACUACAAUACAGGGAAGUUGGCAUGUGCCUUACUAGAGACAGAUGAACCAAUAAAUGAUUGGAAAGGUUCUUCCCAAGCAAAAGAUUACCUAUGAUGAAAAUUACAUUCUCUGCGGGUGCUGACUCAGAUAUAUUACUAUGGGCAAAGGAAGUUCAAAAUUUAUCUCAAUCAAACAUGUGCAAAGGAAAAUUCAAAAUAUGUUAUGUCAGGAAAAGAUUCUUAAACCGGUGAAGUAUCUAGAGGGCUUAUUAGGACACUGCUCAUAUUGUUUGAUACUUUACCAUCUGGGGAUUAGGCUAUCGGUGAACACGACAAUGCGGCUGUUGGUCACGGAUGCCGGGGGCGUGAGCGGGUUGAGGAGCUCACAUGGUGCUAUACAUGAUGACCUGCGAGUGGUGGCAGGAGGUGGCAUGCCUGCUGCUUUGCCGGAAGUCCGACAUGAACUCCCACGACCGACUAUAAGCAUUGUUGUGAAGACCUUCCAGCAUUACCCCAGGAAGCUAACACAUCAGCUUGUGCCAUACGUGGUGUUUUCUUUUUGAUGAAUGUUGGUCUAGUGGGGCGGGGGUGAGGCGCUGGAGAGAGAGGCGGGGCAAUGGUGCAUGUGUGCAGUGUGUCUGGACGACGGAAUGCACGAUCGAGUGAUCGGUGUGGUGGUUGGCGGUGCCAGCUGCUGAUUUUGGGGGGAAGAAGAGGGAUUGAGCGUGUUGUUGUCGUGUGUGGUCUUGGGAGAGGAAUAAAAGAGAGUAGUAAAGAGCUGUAGAGAGAUAGCGAGGGAUUGAGAGGCUACUGCUAUUUUUAUUGCUGUCGAUGCUUGCACAAUGCUAUUGCUUAUUUUGCUGUUCUUGCACAUAGAUCGACAACCAGUCAUUUGGUGUCGUUGCAGGCCCUUUGUUGUUACAUAAUUUCAAAUCAAUUUUCUUAAUCAUGUACAGAUAUUUCAGUAAAUGACUGCGUUGAACCAUGCCUACUAUCA